rnacentral:snRNA from 1 species
AUCCCUUCGCAGUGGCGAUAUCAUAGCCUAUGAGGUAUAGCGAGGCGUGAUAUGCUGGUUGAAAACAACCAAUACCCCGCAGGACGACUUGCAAUACAGUCGGCCCUGGCAAUUUUUGAUAGUCUCGUCAGAGA